GCUGAGAAUGCAGCCAUAGAGAGGGGGCUUGACCCAGAAGACUGGACUAAAAGUAACAUACAGUCUAUGCGGGAGCAGCUGGACACGCUCGGGCUUUGCUUCAACUGGGACAGGGAAGUGACCACUUGCCUCCCAGACUACUACAGGUGGACGCAGUAUCUAUUUAUCAAGCUCUUUGAAGCGGGACUGGCAUACCAAA